CUGUUUAGGCUAUCCAUUUAAGCGAGGAAAUGUUUAUAAUUAGAUUUCCUUUUUCUUAAUUUCUUUAUAUUUUUCUUUCUCGCCGAAAAAACCCCCUGCGCGCCUCUCUUCUCCCUCACUCCCAAGCCCUAGGUGCCGACGCCGAGCCCUAACUGCCGGCCGGCGGUUUCUUCCUCGCUGAAGUUUUAAACUCCUCGGCCACCUCCUUUUCUGCUUUCUCCUCAUCUCCCUCGUGCGCACACCCUGCUCUCCUCCUUGCCCUAAUCGCCGACGCCCCCUCCUCACUGCCGUCGUGACGCCAAGCGCCACUGCACAGAGCCGGCGCCACCGCCGGCCACCCCGUACCCUAGCCGAGCCCUUGCUCACUUGCAGUGCCCUCUCGCCACUGUCUUGUGCCCCAGCGCCGGCCGCCGUUACCUGUGCCCUUACGCCGGCCUCAUCUUCACUCUCUUCCCGAGCCUUUCUUUCUUCUUCUACCCUCUGCCCCAACGUCCACUGCCGGCGCUAAGGUCCAGCAACCUUCUGCCGUGCUUUAGACUCCACUGGCGGGUUUUUCUUCUUCGCCACCAGUCGCCGGCAGAGAGGAAACAGAGGGUGACGAGUAGCAGCCAACAGCCCUUAACGGCAGCCCUCAUUCCAGCAUUCCUUUGUUCCAGCAGCAAUCAACCUAAAUGGGGCAGUAACUCUUUAAUUCCAGCAUCUUCUUGUUCUUGAAUAAGCUGUGGAACUUGAGGACUUUGACGCGAGACGAGUAUCUCAGAGUCAGAUUGGACCUUUCUAUUUUCGGAGG